UACGUAGGGUGCAAGCGUUAUUCGGAAUCACUGGGCGUAAAGGGCGCGCAGGCGGUUUUGUAAGUCUAAAGUGAAAUCCUUGGGCCUAACCCAAGGGCUGCUUUAGAUACUACAAAACUCGAGUUCGGGAAAAUCAAGCGGAAUUCCUGGUGAAGGGGUGAAAUCCGUAGAUAUCAGGAAGAACACCAGUGUCGAAAGCGGCUUGCUAGAACGCAACUGACGCUUAGUCGCGAAAGCGUUUGGAGCAAACAGG
rnacentral:rRNA from 1 species